UGACAAUGGGCAACCCGCAGCCCUCGCGGCUGCUCUCUCUCUGGAGUAGCCAUUCUUUUAUUCCUUUACUUUUCCUGAUAAACUUGCUUUCACUUUACAGACUUGCCCUGAAUUAUUUGUUGCACGAGAUCAAAGAACCCUCUCUUGGGGUCUGGGUCGGGACCGCUUUUCAGUAACAUCUUUCUGGUGAUCACGGAAGAGACUAUAGUGUGGAAACACCCGACCCAAAGGCUAACUUUGAGCCCGGUGUGGUGGCACGCACCUGUAAUCCCAGCUACUCAGGAGGCUGAGGCAGGAGAAUCGCUUGAACCCCAGCGACAGAGGUUGCAGUGAGCUGAGAUCGCACCACUGCACUCCAGCCUGAGCGACAGAGCAAGACUCUGUCUCAAAAACAACAACAACAAACAACAACAACAAAAAACCAAAGGCUAACUUUGGGUAAGUGAUGGGGUUCAGUAACAUCUUUCUGGCAAAUCAUGGAAGGGACGAUACUGAAGAAACCCCCGACCCAAAGGAAAUAGACUGGAGCACUGAUUGGCCGACUUUGGACGUGUCCUGAAUGCUGUCCCUUUCCAGACCUGGUUCUUCGGCUUUCUCUUCAAUUCGUCUUAGGGAGGAGUGAAACGUGGAACACGACUUCACAUCAAAAAUGCACGUUGCAGAGGCAUUUUUCCUUCGGGGACGCCGGAAGACUUCGCCACACGCGCGCCCUCUCCGCGGACACCAACGUGCUGACGCAUGUUCAUUAGCGAGCUGCUCCCUCCAUUUUGUCCCCAGUCUCCUUUAGGCGAACUGCGCGGUUCUAUGUUAAAGCCACUUAGUAAUGAAACUAUAAAAGGGAGGAAGUGGGGUGGGCGUGGGAGCCCCGUUUGCGCAAGGCAGGCGCGGGGGACUAAAUGGCUGCUGGUGCAGAGUGGGGCUGCCCCGGCACCAAGGGCUCGUCCCGUGGCCGGAAGGACAAAGGACACUUAGGGGACGAGGGCCGCCGAGCCAGCGCGGAGC
rnacentral:lncRNA from 1 species